rnacentral:sRNA from 1 species
UUAUUUGUAGUUAAGUCGCAUCACAUUCCAUUUUUUUUAUAUUUGGUCGAAUAUUUCAAGAAGGUUGGAGAUCAGACUAGAACAGAGCCAAAGCAGGCUCUUGAGGAACUCGAUGUCCCAGGGAAUGAUGUCAUCGGUGGACCGCCCAUAGGCAGCUCGGGGUCGUCCUUGUGGUACUCGGCCCAGAUCAUGACCAAGCGCAAAAUUUCCGAAUUCACUUUCGGCAGAACAAGAGGUUCCUUCUUCUUAUCCUCCUUGUCGCCAUCCUCGAGCAAGCCUUUCAUGAUUCCCGAGCACUUCAGGAACCUGACGUCGACGUCGAAGUCUUCCCCGUUCGAAGACUGCAGUUUAAUGGUCGGCAUUUUGGUACCUUCGUUGUUCGACAUCAACAGCAACCGCCUCAGCUUCUAGCUGCUUUCCUGGGAGUGUUCCCCCAAAAUCCACGACACAAAGUCACCGAGUUGAGAUAGCCAUGGAUAAUUUAAGUUCUCUUAAAAAAAAAUAGCAUAAUAAGAAUCAAAAUAAAAUCGCAAUGUCAUGGCAUUAAAAGUAACACCA